GGUAAACACGAGCAUAAAGUGGGUAUAUGAUGUGCUCUUUCGACGACAAACUGUGUUAGAUUCACUAUCGGCAUGCAAAUAACAAGAUGACAUUCGCAGCCCGGGGAUUGUUUCUGACGAUUGUUUCAACAGAUCUGGAAUAGAAUUUUAUGUAUCUGUAGGCCUAUAGUGGAUGGAAGCAGGGCAUGACGGACUGACGGACUGAAGCCUGGCUGUGCGUCUGUGUGGGGACGUGAGCAUUGACCGUGCAGCGUGGGUAGCGGGGUGACAUUACCUGUGGAAAACGAGAAGCUGCAAUGCCACCGAAACCACACCGAUAUCCACCCAAUUAUCUCACCCCUAGAUGAUGGUAAAACGGAUUACCCACUCCUACUGCUUCACCGUGCUUCUGCUCCUGAGACAGCUGACACAGGUCCACGGACAAGUGAACAUCUGUCUGACAGACGAGCACAAAUGUGGUCAGAAUUCGUUUUGUUCCCCGACCCAUUCGUCAUACGAAUGUCGAUGUAAACCCGGAUUUACCGGUCCUUUGAAGUCAAUUAGAGGAGUCUUUUACUGCGAAGAUAUCGAUGAAUGCCGUGACCUUUCGUCGCCUUGUGGCUCAAACUCGGAAUGUACCAACACAAAUGGCGAACACUACUGUUCCUGUAAAUUUGGAUUCUCAAGUCCAGCUAGAAAUGGAAGAAACUGCGUAACAGACAUCGAUGAGUGUGUAGUGCUACGUGACCCGUGUGGCCCUCACUCUGCCUGUGACAAUACCUAUGGCGGAUACAUUUGUACCUGUCUUAAGGGGUAUUCCAGCCCGACACAUGACGGUAAAAAUUGCCAAG